GUCGCAAAUGCCAAUAAGCAAGGAGUUAUUAUUGAUGAGCGGAAAGCAUUUUCGUUUGGGAGUUUUUGGGAGUCUCACGGCGGGUUGGAGAUUGUGAAGGUGAUGGGGUAGUGACGGCGGAAUGUUUAUGAGGGGUUGUGUCGUUAGCGGUGGUGAGUGGUUGAUGGUCGAUUGAAGAAGAAAAAGGAGAUGGUGAUGGCUCUGUGUGUGGGAA
rnacentral:lncRNA from 1 species